ACGGAAUAGGUGUCUUUUUAAAACAAGACUUAAUUGGGAAGUUGGUUGAAAUCCAACGCGGUCCCGCCACUGUAAAUGGGAGCAACCUGCAUAUCCACUGUACUUUGUUGUAUGGGAAGGAGCAGGAAGCGAUGAUCAUGAGCCAGGAGACCUGCCUGUUU
rnacentral:ncRNA from 1 species